rnacentral:rRNA from 1 species
UGGGGAAUAUUGGACAAUGGGCGAAAGCCUGAUCCAGCCAUGCCGCGUGUGUGAAGAAGGUCUUCGGAUUGUAAAGCACUUUAAGUUGGGAGGAAGGGCAUUAACCUAAUACGUUAGUGUUUUGACGUUACCGACAGAAUAAGCACCGGCUAACUCUGUGCCAGCAGCCGCGGUAAUACAGAGGGUGCAAGCGUUAAUCGGAAUUACUGGGCGUAAAGCGCGCGUAGGUGGUUUGUUAAGUUGGAUGUGAAAUCCCCGGGCUCAAUCUGGGAACUGCAUUCAAAACUGACAGACUAGAGUAUGGUAGAGGGUGGUGGAAUUUCCUGUGUAGCGGUGAAAUGCGUAGAUAUAGGAAGGA